rnacentral:rRNA from 1 species
GCUAACACGGUGCCGGCAGCGGGGGUAUGACGUAGGGGGCAAGCGGUGUCCGGAAUCAUUGGGCGUAAAGAGCGCGUAGGCGGUCCGGUAAGUCCGCGCGGAAAGUCCGGGGCUCAACCCCGGGAGGCGGGCGGAUACUGCCGGGCUAGAGUCCGGAAGAGGCGAGUGGAAUUCCUGGUGUAGCGGUGAAAUGCGCAGAUAUCAGGAGGAACACCGAUGGCGAAGGCAGCUCGCUGGGACGGUACUGACGCUGAGGCGCGAAAGCGUGGGGAGCAAACAGGAUUAGAUACCCGGGUAGUC